rnacentral:rRNA from 1 species
GAUGAACGCUAGCGGCAGGCCUAAUACAUGCAAGUCGAGGGGCAGCGGGAGUCUUCGGACUUGCCGGCGACCGGCGCACGGGUGCGUAACGCGUAUGCAACCUGCCUUCGAGCGGAGGAUAGCCCAGAGAAAUCUGGAUUAAUACUCCGUAUGCCCACGCGACCGCAUGGUCAAGUGGGGAAAGAGUUUCGCUCGGAGAUGGGCAUGCGUCCCAUUAGGUAGUUGGCGGGGUAACGGCCCACCAAGCCGACGAUGGGUAGGGUCCUGAGAGGGUGAUCCCCCACACUGGUACUGAGACACGGACCAGACUCCUACGGGGCAGCAGUAGGGAAUAUUGGGCAAUGGACGAGAGUCUGACCCAGCCAUGCCGCGUGAACGACGAAGGCCCUCGGGUCGUAAAGUUCUUUUGCAAGGGAAGAACACCAUCCAUGCGUGGAUGUCUGACGGUACCUUGCGAAUAAGCACCGGCUAACUCCGUG